rnacentral:rRNA from 1 species
GACGAACGCUGGCGGCGUGCUUAACACAUGCAAGUCGAACGAUGUCGCACACGGGUGAGUAACGCGUGAUCACCCUGCCCUUCAGAGGGGGACCACAGUUGGAAACGACUGCUAACACAGCAUACUGAAGGUGGGGAUUGCGUCUGAUUAGCUAGUUGGAGGGGUAACGGCCCAUCAAGGCGAUGAUGAGUAGCCGGUCUGAGAGGAUGAACGGCCACAGUGGGACUGAGACACGGCCCAGACGCCUACGGGAGGCAGCAGUGGGGAAUAUGGCACAAUGGGCGCAAGCCUGAGGCAGCCAUGCCGCGUGUGUGAAGAAGGCCUUCGGGUUGUAAAGCACUUUCAGCGUGGAGCGUUACUCGCAGAAGAAGCACCGGCUAACUCCGUGCCAGCAGCCGCGGUAAUAC